rnacentral:rRNA from 1 species
AGUGAACGCUGGCGGUAGGCCUAACACAUGCAAGUCGAACGGCAGCACAGUAAGAGCUUGCUCUUACGGGUGGCGAGUGGCGGACGGGUGAGGAAUACAUCGCAAUCUACUUUUUCGUGGGGGAUAACGUAGGGAAACUUACGCUAAUACCGCAUACGACCUACGGGUGAAAGCAGGGGAUCUUCGGACCUUGCGCGAUUGAAUGAGCCGAUGUCGGAUUAGCUAGUUGGCGGGGUAAAGGCCCACCAAGGCGACGAUGCGUAGCUGGUCUGAGAGGAUGAUCAGCCACACUGGAACUGAGACACGGUCCAGACUCCUACGGGAGGCAGCAGUGGGGAAUAUUGGACAAUGGGCGAAAGCCUGAUCCAGCAAUGCCGCGUGGGUGAAGAAGGCCUUCGGGUUGUAAAGCCCUUUUGUUGGGAAAGAAAAGCAGCAGGUUAAUCCCCCGCUGUCCUGACGGUACCCAAAGAAUAAGCACCGGCUAACUUCGUG